UCCCUCCGCGACUCCCUCCACCCCCCAACAUGUGGCAGACACAGUAGCCUGGAUCCAGCCUGGCCUACAGGCCAACAUGGCGAGGGGGGAGAAUGGCUGACAUUUCCUGCUCUGCGGCUGAGGUCCACAUCCUUAGCCUGCUGGAAAAUAUUAAGCACACCCAAGACCAGCUGAUGGCGAAGAUUUCUUCUUUGGCCACCAUUGGAGGCCACGAUGUGAAGCGGGUGACCUGGAACAUCCUGGGCAGGAUGUUCACAGAGGAGGUUUCACA